rnacentral:rRNA from 1 species
GUGGCGAACGGGUGAGUAACGCGUAAGCAAUCUGCCUUUCAGUUGGGGACAACCCUGCCAACGCAGGGCUAAUACCGAAUAACAUUGUUUUUCCGCAUGGUAGAACGAUAAAAGAGGCCUUGUGUCUCGCUGAAAGAUGAGCUUGCGUCCUAUUAGCUUGUUGGUGAGGUAACGGCUCACCAAGGCUUCGAUAGGUAGCCGGCCUGAGAGGGUGAUCGGCCACAUUGGGACUGAGAUACGGCCCAGACUCCUACGGGAGGCAGCAGUAGGGAAUUUUGCGCAAUGGACGAAAGUCUGACGCAGCAACGCCGCGUGAGUGAUGAAGGCCUUCGGGUUGUAAAGCUCUGUCAGGAGGGAAGAAACCGCCGGGGUAACGCCCGGUGCUGACGGUACCUCCAGAGGAAACUCCGGCUAACUCCGUGCCAGCAGCCGCGGUAAUACGGGGGGAGCAAGUGUUGUUCGGAUUUAUUGGGCGUAAAGGGAGUGUAGGCGGAAGCUUAAGUUAGGGGUGAAAAUUCAGGGCUCAACCCUGAACCUGCCUCUAAAACUGAGUUUCUUGAGUAUGGAAGAGGGUGAUGGAAUUCCUGGUGUAGCGGUGGAAUGCGUAGAUAUCAGGAGGAACACCAAUUGCGAAGGCAGUCACCUGGGACAAUACUGACGCUGAAACUCGAAAGCGUGGGGAGCAAACAGGAUUAGAUACCCUGGUAGUCCACGCUGUAAACUAUGGAUACUAGAUAUUGGAGGAGUUAAUCCUUUCAGUGUCGAAGCUAACGCAUUAAGUAUCUCGCCUGGGGAGUACGGUCGCAAGGCUGAAACUCAAAGAAAUUGACGGGGGCCCGCACAAGCGGUGGAGCAUGUGGUUCAAUUCGAUGAUACGCGAAGAACCUUACCUGGGUUUGACAUGGAACUGCCGUGAGCAGAGAUGUUCACUUUUCUUCGGAAACGGUUCACACAGGUGCUGCAUGGCUGUCGUCAGCUCGUGUCGUGAGAUGUUGGGUUAAGUCCCGCAACGAGCGCAACCCUUGUCCUGUGUUACCAGCGGAUAAUGCCGGGGACUCACAGGAGACUGCCUCAUUUUAGAGGAGGAAGGUGGGGACGACGUCAAGUCAUCAUGGCCCUUACGCCCAGGGCUACACACGUGCUACAAUGGCCGGUACAAAGAGUUGCAAUAUCGCGAGGUGGAGCUAAUCUCAAAAAACCGGUCUCAGUUCGGAUUGGAGUCUGCAACUUGACUCUAUGAAGUUGGAAUCGCUAGUAAUCGCAGAUCAGCAAUGCUGCGGUGAAUACGUUAUCGGGCCUUGUACACACCGCCCGUCAAGCCAUGAAAGCCGGGGGUACUCGAAGUGGUUGCCUGAACCUUCGGGAGGGCGCCCCUAAAGUAAAACCGGUAAUUGGGGCUAAGUCGAAACAAGGUA